UCAUGCUGUGGAGACAGCCUGAAAGUCCUGUCAUGUUUCAGAAUUGAAAACAACAUCCAAAGAAGCAUAACAGUAGAAUGUAGAAGGAAAAGUAAAAGGCUGUAAGAUGGAUUGAUUUGCUGCCAUUGUUUUACUUUCACACUUGUGCUGUGUGUGCAAGGAGGUUCCUUGCUGAAUGGCCAUAUCCUCAAAACCUUGUUCUUCAAGAAUCUUUGAGG